rnacentral:rRNA from 1 species
UGGGGAAUAUUGCACAAUGGGCGCAAGCCUGAUGCAGCCAUGCCGCGUGUAUGAAGAAGGCCUUCGGGUUGUAAAGUACUUUCAGCGGGGAGGAAGGGAGUAAAGUUAAUACCUUUGCUCAUUGACGUUACCCGCAGAAGAAGCACCGGCUAACUCCGUGCCAGCAGCCGCGGUAAUACGGAGGGUGCAAGCGUUAAUCGGAAUUACUGGGCGUAAAGCGCACGCAGGCGGUUGAUUGAGUCAGAUGUGAAAUCCCCGGGCUUAACCCGGGAAUUGCAUCUGAUACUGGUCAGCUAGAGUCUUGUAGAGGGGGGUAGAAUUACAUGUGUAGCGGUGAAAUGCGUAGAGAUGUGGAGGAAUACCGGUGGCGAAGGCGGCCCCCUGGACAAAGACUGACGCUCAGGUGCGAAAGCGUGGGGAGCAAACAGG